CAAGUUUUUAAGGGCGCACGGUGGAUGCCUUGGCACCAGGAACCGAUGAAGGACGUGGGAGGCCACGAUAGGCCCCGGGGAGCUGUCAACCGAGCUUUGAUCCGGGGGUGUCCGAAUGGGGAAACCCGGCAGUCGUCAUGGGCUGUCACCCGCUGCUGAACACAUAGGCAGUGUGGAGGGAACGCGGGGAAGUGAAACAUCUCAGUACCCGCAGGAAGAGAAAACAACCGUGAUUCCGGGAGUAGUGGCGAGCGAAACUGGAUGAGGCCAAACCAGUCACGUGUGAUACCCGGCAGGGGUUGCGUGGUUGGGGUUGUGGGAUCUCUCUUUUGCAGUCUGCCGGCUGUGAGGCGAGUCAGAAACCGUUGAUGUAGGCGAAGGACAUGCGAAAGGUCCGGCGUAGAGGGUAAGACCCCCGUAGCUGAAACAUUAGCGGCUCGUUUGAGAGACACCCAAGUAGCACGGGGCCCGAGAAAUCCCGUGUGAAUCUGGCGGGACCACCCGUUAAGCCUAAAUAUUCCCUGGUGACCGAUAGCGGAUAGUACCGUGAGGGAAUGGUGAAAAGUACCGCGGGAGCGGAGUGAAAUAGUACCUGAAACCGUGUGCCUACAAGCCGUGGGAGCGUCGCUGGUGAGUUUACUCAUCAGUCGUGACUGCGUGCCUUUUGAAGAAUGAGCCUGCGAGUUUGCGGUAUGUUGCGAGGUUAACCCGUGUGGGGAAGCCGUAGCGAAAGCGAGUCCGAAUAGGGCGUGGAGUAGCAUGCUCAAGACCCGAAGCGGAGUGAUCUAGCCAUGGGCAGGUUGAAGCGGAGGUAAGACUUCGUGGAGGACCGAACCCACCAGGGUUGAAAACCUGGGGGAUGACCUGUGGUUAGGGGUGAAAGGCCAAUCAAACUCCGUGAUAGCUGGUUCUCCCCGAAAUGCAUUUAGGUGCAGCGUCGUGUGUUUCUUGCCGGAGGUAGAGCACUGGAUAGGCGAUGGGCCCUACCGGGUUACUGACCUUAGCCAAACUCCGAAUGCCGGUAAGUGAGAGCGCGGCAGUGAGACUGUGGGGGAUAAGCUCCAUGGUCGAGAGGGAAACAGCCCAGAGCAUCGACUAAGGCCCCUAAGCGUGUGCUAAGUGGGAAAGGAUGUGGAGUCGCAGAGACAACCAGGAGGUUGGCUUAGAAGCAGCCACCCUUGAAAGAGUGCGUAAUAGCUCACUGGUCAAGUGAUUCCGCGCCGACAAUGUAGCGGGGCUCAAGUACACCGCCGAAGUCGUGUCAUUGCGAUAUUACUCCUAACGGGGAUCGUGAUGGGUAGGGGAGCGUCGUGUGCCGGGUGAAGCAGCCGUGGAAACGAGUUGUGGACGGUUCACGAGUGAGAAUGCAGGCAUGAGUAGCGAUACAAGAGUGGGAAACUCUUGCGCCGAUUGACUAAGGGUUCCUGGGUCAAGCUGAUCUGCCCAGGGUAAGUCGGGACCUAAGGCGAGGCCGACAGGCGUAGUCGAUGGACAACCGGUUGAUAUUCCGGUACCCGCUUUGAAGCGCCCAAUACUGAAUCAGGCGAUGCUAAGUCCGUGAAGCCGCCCUGGAUCCUUCGGGUGAAGGGGAGUGGUGGAGCCGACGGACCAGACUUGUAGUAGGUAAGCGAUGGGGUGACGCAGGAAGGUAGUCCAGCCCGGGCGGUGGUUGUCCCGGGGUAAGGGUGUAGGCCGUGUGGUAGGUAAAUCCGUCGCACGUUAAGGCUGAGACCUGAUGCCGAGCCGAUUGUGGUGAAGUGGAUGAUCCUAUGCUGUCGAGAAAAGCCUCUAGUGAGUUUCAAGGCGGCCCGUACCCUAAACCGACUCAGGUGGUCAGGUAGAGAAUACCGAGGCGUUCGGGUGAACUAUGGUUAAGGAACUCGGCAAAAUGCCCCCGUAACUUCGGGAGAAGGGGGGCCAUUUCUGGUGAGGGAACUUGCUUCCUGAGCUGGGGGUGGCCGCAGAGACCAGCGAGAAGCGACUGUUUACUAAAAACACAGGUCCGUGCGAAGCCGUAAGGCGAUGUAUACGGACUGACGCCUGCCCGGUGCUGGAACGUUAAGGGGACCGGUUAGCUUGGAUUCGUUCAGGCGAAGCUGAGAACUUAAGCGCCAGUAAACGGCGGUGGUAACUAUAACCAUCCUAAGGUAGCGAAAUUCCUUGUCGGGUAAGUUCCGACCUGCACGAAUGGCGUAACGACUUCUCGACUGUCUCAACCAUAGGCCCGGUGAAAUUGCAUUACGAGUAAAGAUGCUCGUUUCGCGCAGCAGGACGGAAAGACCCCGGGACCUUUACUAUAGCUUGAUAUUGGUGUUCGGUUCGGCUUGUGUAGGAUAGGUGGGAGACUGUGAAGCGCCAACGCCAGUUGGUGUGGAGUCGUUGUUGAAAUACCACUCUGGUCGUGCUGGAUGUCUAACCUGGGUCCGUGAUCCGGAUCAGGGACAGUGUCUGGUGGGUAGUUUAACUGGGGCGGUUGCCUCCUAAAGAGUAACGGAGGCGCCCAAAGGUUCCCUCAGCCUGGUUGGUAAUCAGGUGUUGAGUGUAAGUGCACAAGGGAGCUUGACUGUGAGACUGACGGGUCGAGCAGGUACGAAAGUAGGGACUAGUGAUCCGGCGGUGGCUUGUGGAAGCGCCGUCGCUCAACGGAUAAAAGGUACCCCGGGGAUAACAGGCUGAUCUUCCCCAAGAGUCCAUAUCGACGGGAUGGUUUGGCACCUCGAUGUCGGCUCGUCGCAUCCUGGGGCUGGAGUCGGUCCCAAGGGUUGGGCUGUUCGCCCAUUAAAGCGGUACGCGAGCUGGGUUUAGAACGUCGUGAGACAGUUCGGUCCCUAUCCGCUGUGCGCGUAGGAGUCUUGAGAAGGGCUGUCCCUAGUACGAGAGGACCGGGACGGACGAACCUCUGGUGUGCCAGUUGUUCUGCCAAGGGCAUGGCUGGUUGGCUACGUUCGGAAAGGAUAACCGCUGAAAGCAUCUAAGCGGGAAGCCUGCUUCGAGAUGAGGGCUCCCUCCUCCUUGAGAGGGUAAGGCUCCCAGUAGACGACUGGGUUGAUAGGCCAGAUAUGGAAGCACUGUAAGGUGUGGAGUUGACUGGUACUAAUAGGCCGAGGGCUUGUCC
rnacentral:rRNA from 1 species